CAGCAGCCGCGAUAAUACGGAGGGAGCUAGCGUUGUUCGGAAUUACUGGGCGUAAAGCGCACGUAGGCGGUUAUUCAAGUCAGAGGUGAAAGCCCGGGGCUCAACCCCGGAACUGCCUUUGAAACUAGAUGACUGGAAUCUUGGAGAGGUCAGUGGAAUUCCGAGUGUAGAGGUGAAAUUCGUAGAUAUUCGGAAGAACACCAGUGGCGAAGGCGACUGACUGGACAAGUAUUGACGCUGAGGUGCGAAAGCGUGGGGAGCAAACAGGAUUAGAUACCCCGGUAGUCCCUGUCUCUUAUAU
rnacentral:rRNA from 1 species